GCCGCGGUCGCCAACCGCCGCCUCGCGCUACCGGCUGGAGAGAGGCUGGCCUGGCGGGGAUGUGGAGCGCCUGGGCCGGACCUCGGGCUUGCACCGGGGCGCGUCUCCUCGCCCAGGUGGCCUGCGGGCACAUUGCUUGAGGUUUCGCGAUCCACGGUCUCAGCGGAUCCAGGGGAUAAAUACAUCUUUAAGAAAAUAAAUAAAUGAAGACUCCUGCCAGCGUCUUGAAGGAUGAGAUGGAGCUCACCAGGUGAAGAGAGAACAGCGCUUCUGGCGGGAAGGAACCUGCACAGGGCAUUUUGUGGGGGAGGGAGAGGCCACAGGCAGGAUGAAGGGCAGGAUGGCUGUGAGGUCAGCCGUGAUGACACUGAUGAGACCAGUAGGCCAGUGAAGUGCCGGGGCUCUGCUCCUGAGCUGUGCAGAGACCGGGAGAGAUCUGCAACAAGGAUGAGGACUGUGAGUGGCUCCAGUGGCCAACUCAGAAGCAACCCAGGAAGAGAGGCCAGGCCCAAGGCCCCUUUGGACCAAGGAUGCUUGUGAGCAUCCUGUCUCCUUUAGAGUCUUGUCCCCAAGGAGCUGUGUAUGAUUUUGGGAAAGCUGUGUUCUCAGUUACAGAAAGACAUCCAGGCUUAGGAGGAACUAAUGACUGUUUCUUUCCUUGAAUGGCAAUCCCUCUACAUAUAAUUCCAUCAGCACCCAAAAUAAGCAAAGCUUUACUAAGCACCAAGAAGACCACAUCCACAUAAUGAAAAUAUUUUAUCGGAAGCCUAAGAAAAGUCCCUGUGGACUCCGCGUCUUCCUAGGAACAACUUCCCAACCGAUGAGAAACGAAUCCCAGGGAAAGAACCUGCUCUGCAGUGCAGGCCACACCAGUACACAGCUUGCAGCAGAUUCCCACGGAGGGGAGUGUGGUGAGAGUGCCAGCCUGCAGGCUGUUUUAUGUCAGUGCCCCAGGACUAAGUUUGUGUCUUACCAACAGCGCGUAUAGAGUGACAGGCACAAGCAAGCUCCCGAGCUGUCACUCGGCUUUGAUGAGGCCCGGCUUUGAGUAGGAGGUCAGUUAGGUGGCAGAGGCGCCUCCAAGUUGCAAAGUCUGCGGUUACGGAUCCGUCGUCUGCAGCCAGCCUGCCUGGCUCCCUCGGACACCUUCUGUGUGAUCUGCAGCAAGUUCUUCAAGCUCUCUGCCACUCAGUUUCUUCAUCUGUGAGAUGGGGUAACACAGCAGCUCCCCGUUAGAGUUAUUGAGGGUUAAGUGAAUCCUUGAGGAAUACGCUCUAGGAGAGCACUAUGUGGUACACAGGAAGUUCUGCGUGUUUAUUAUUAUUGUUACCUUAGAGUAGAUUAAUUGGUCUGGAGCUUUUCUCCAAUGAAGCCACCUGUAAGAAAGUUCAUUUUAAGUUGGCUGUCUCAAUGAUAGUGGAUGAAACAAUUCAUCUGGUUGGGCUCUUGAAAGAAACCAUCUAUUUGUCUCCAAAUUCUGGGGCUUUUUACUCUAAAGUACGCUGUGAGGGACCAGCGUUGUGGCCCAGCAGGUUAAGCCGCAGCCUGGGAUGCUGGCAUCCCAUAUGGACACCAGGUUCAAGUUCCAUCUGCUCCACUGCCUAUCCAGCUUCCUGCUAAUGUACCUGGGAAAUCAUGGAAGAUGGCCCAAGUGCUUGGGCCCCUGCACCCAUGCAGGAGACCUGGAUGAAGCUCCCGACUCCUGGCUUCAGCCUGGCCCAGCCCCAGCUGUUAUGGCCAUCUGGGAAGUGAACCAGCAGAUGAAAGAUAUCUCUCACUCUGUCUCUCUCUGUAACUCUGCCUUUCAAAUAAAUAAAAUAAAUCUAAAACAAAAAAA